UAUAUACUCCCUCCGUCCCAAAAUUCUUGUCUUAGAUUUGUCUAAAUACGGAUGUAUCUAGUUACGUUUUAGUGUUAGAUACAUCCGUAUCUAGACAAAUUUAAGACAAGAAUUUUGGGACGGAGGGAGUAAUAU
rnacentral:pre_miRNA from 1 species